rnacentral:rRNA from 1 species
AAGAGGUCCCGCCUGCCCUGUGACCAUGUGUUUAACGGCCGCGGUAUUUUGACCGUGCAAAGGUAGCGCAAUCACUUGUCUUUUAAAUAAAGACCUGUAUGAAUGGCAUAACGAGGGCUAAACUGUCUCCUUACCCCAGUUAAUGAAAUUGAUCUUUCCGUGCAGAAGCGGGAAUAAACCCAUAAGACGAGAAGACCCUGUGGAGCUUUAGAUGAUAAAUGAAUUUAUUUAAAAAUCAGUGCCGAAUAAAAGGCAGUAAAACAAUAACCUCAUUUUAAAUCUUUAGUUGGGGCGACCGCGGAGUAAUACAAAACCUCCGUGAGGAUUGAGGUAAAACCUUAUACCUAAGAAUGUCAUUUCUAAGUGUCAGAAUAUUUGACCCACAGAUCCGGCAAUAGCCGAUUAACGAACCUAGUUACCCCAGGGAUAACAGCGCAAUCCUCUUUGAGAGUCCCUAUCGACAAGGGGGUUUACGACCUCGAUGUUGGAUCAGGACAUCCUAAUGGUGUAGCCGCUAUUAAGGG